rnacentral:rRNA from 1 species
UCACCUGAUCUCGUCUGAUAUCAGAAGCUAA